rnacentral:rRNA from 1 species
GUGUCAGCAGCCGCGGUAAGACGGGGGGUGCUAGCGUUGCUCGGAAUCACUGGGCGUAAAGGGCGCGCAGGCGGCCGCGCGCGUCGGGCGUGAAAUCCCGGGGCUCAACCCCGGAACGGCGCCCGAUACGGCGUGGCUGGAGGCCGGAAGAGGAGGGCGGAAUUCCCGGUGUAGAGGUGAAAUUCGUAGAUAUCGGGAGGAACACCGGUGGCGAAGGCGGCUCUCUGGUCCGGUCCUGACGCUCAGGCGCGAAAGCGUGGGGAGCAAACAGGAUUAGAUACCCUGGUAGUCCACGCCCUAAACGAUGUGCGCUAGCCGUCGGGGGGUUCCCCCUCGGUGGCGCAGCCAACGCGUUAAGCGCACCGCCUGGGGAGUACGGCCGCAAGGCUGAAACUUAAAGGAAUUGACGGGG